rnacentral:lncRNA from 1 species
GUCCGGCGCUUAGUACAGUGCCCGGCACGUAGUAAGCGUUUAACAAAUACCAUACUAAUACUAGUACUAAGUCGAUCGUAUUUAUUGCGCGCAUCCUGGGUGCAGAGCGGUGCGCUAUGCGCUUGGAAAGUACAAUACAGCAAUAAAGAGAGACCAUCCCUGGCCACAGGGCAGCCGAAAUCCCGUUCGGUGGAGGAAAUUGGGAAGGCGAGCCUUCCCUUUCCUGCUUUUCCUGGCCGCGCAUCCCGCACCAGCCCCGUCGAGGGGCUGCGGAACGCCGGGCUUCGGGCGCCCUUCGGCUCCGGCCUCGGUGAACUUUUAGGGCCUCCGGAAAUCGACGAUCUCACCCGAACGCCCUCGGGGGCCCGCCCCCCCCCCCCCUCCCUUUUCCGAGCGGGCCGAGACCGUUGGGGCCGAGACCCCCCGAGGGCGUCCGAACGCGGCCGGCUCGGAGCGCCGAACGUGGGCGAGCCCGAUCCCUCGCUGUCAGACGAUCCGGCCGUCCGGGUUUUCUCACCACCCGGCGGCGGCGGCUUCGGCGAUUGGCGAGCGGGCCGGGCUCCAGCCAAUGAGAGGGGAGCGCCGCCUGUGACAUUGGGCCGGCCGCCGCAGCCCGAGCCCACUAGCGACGAGUCGUGCCCGAAGCCCGAAGCCCCGAAGUCCCGAAGCCCCGAAGCCCCGAAGCCCCGAAGUGCCGAAGUGCCGAAGCCCGGCUCGCCGCCCGCUCGGGGACGAAGCUCCGCCGGCCAGCUGGUCUACCCGCCCGCCCGUCCUGCGCGCAUCGGAAAGCAUGCUUGCCGCCGCCCUCCUGCUUUGACUUUCCCGGGGGAGCCGGCGAGGGGAAGAAAACCGUCGAGGAGCCGGAGCGACUUCCAAUGUGACUGCCGCUUCUCCCUUCCCUCCCCAGACAUUCCUCCGCCCCACCAAAGGAAUAUCUUGCCGCGCUCUUCCAAGUCGUUCUCGGGCCGGGCCUUCCGUUACAAAGUUGCACAAUGUUUCAAAUCCAAUCAUGUCCAUAUUUCUGCAGCACAAGUGGAGUAAAGAGCUAACAUUUACUCCAGGGAAUCUGAAUGUGUCAAUGGCAAAAGUGAUAUUUCACUGACAAAAAAGCUUUGUGGCUGGAAUUCUACGGACUGGCUGUCAGCACAGUCUGAAGGUAUGAGAUUUUUUUUUCUAACUCUCCAGCUGUAUAGACCCCGCUUAAACCAUUCUGUUUCGACUCACUCCCCACCAUUCACAGCUGAAGUGGAUGGAGAUAAGGUGGUGUUUCCAUGCCACCCCUGCUUCCAGAGGCAGUCAUGGAUCGGUAUUUAUUGAGCGAUUAUUCUGUGCCGUGCACUAUACUAAGCUCUUACUGUGAGCCUUAGGUGGGAUAGGGACUGUGUCCAACCUGCUUAACCUUAAUCAAUCAAUCAAUCAAUUAA